GAUGAACGCUGGCGGCGUGCCUAAUACAUGCAAGUCGAGCGAAUGGAUUGAGAGCUUGCUCUUAUGAAGUUAGCGGCGGACGAGUGAGUAACACGUGGGUAACCUGCCCAUAAGACUGGGAUAACUCCGGGAAACCGGGGCUAAUACCGGAUAACAUUUUGAACCGCACGGUUCGAAAUUGAAAGGCGGCUUCGGCUGUCACUUAUGGAUGGACCCGCGUCGCAUUAGCUAGUUGGUGAGGUAACGGCUCACCAAGGCAACGAUGCGUAGCCGACCUGAGAGGGUGAUCGGCCACAAUGGGACUGAGCCACGGCCCAGACUCCUACGGGAGGCAGCAGUAGGGAAUCUUCCGCAAUGGACGAAAGUCUGACGGAGCAACGCCGCGUGAGUGAUGAAGGCUUUCGGGUCGUAAAACUCUGUUGUUAGGGAAGAACAAGUGCUAGUUGAAUAAGCUGGCGCCUUGACGGUACCUAACCAGAAAGCCACGGCUAACUACGUGCCAGCCGCCGCAGUAA
rnacentral:rRNA from 1 species